GGAGUACGAGCAACAGGGAUUGCCCUAGUAACGGCGAGUGAAGCGGCAACAGCUCAAAUUUGAAAUCUGGCGCAAGCCCGAGUUGUAAUUUGUAGAGGAUGCUUCUAGGUAGCGACCGGUCUAAGUUCCUUGGAACAGGACGUCAUAGAGGGUGAGAAUCCCGUAUGUGACCGGCCCGCACCUUCUACGUAGCUCCUUCGACGAGUCGAGUUGUUUGGGAAUGCAGCUCUAAAUGGGAGGUAAAUUUCUUCUAAAGCUAAAUACCGGCCAGAGACCGAUAGCGCACAAGUAGAGUGAUCGAAAGAUGAAAAGCACUUUGGAAAGAGAGUUAAAAAGCACGUGAAAUUGUUGAAAGGGAAGCGCUUACAACCAGACUUCUGGGCGGUGUUCCGCCGGUCUUUUGACCGGUCUACUCGCCGUCCCGAGGCCAACAUCAUCUGGGACCGCUGGAUAAGACCUCAGGAAUGUAGCUCCCCUCGGGGAGUGUUAUAGCCUGUGGUGAUGCAGCGCGUCUCGGGUGAGGUCCGCGCUUCGGCAAGGAUGUUGGCGUAAUGGUUGUCAGCGGCCCGUCUUGAAACACGGACCAAGGAGUCUAACAUCUAUGCGAGUGUUCGGGUGUCAAACCCCUACGCGUAAUGAAAGUGAACGGAGGUGGGAAGGGCAACCUGCACCAUCGACCGAUCCUGAUGUCCUCGGAUGGAUUUGAGUAAGAGCAUAGCUGUUGGGACCCGAAAGAUGGUGAACUAUGCCUGAAUAGGGUGAAGCCAGAGGAAACUCUGGUGGAGGCUCGCAGCGGUUCUGACGUGCAAAUCGAUCGUCAAAUUUGGGUAUAGGGGCGAAAGACUAAUCGAACCAUCUAGUACUGGUCUCGAAAAAAACCCCCCCCCGCAGAGAGAAAAAAAGGAAACA
rnacentral:rRNA from 1 species